GACGAACGCUGGCGGCGUGCUUAACACAUGCAAGUCGAACGGAAAGGCCCUGCUUUUGUGGGGUGCUCGAGUGGCGAACGGGUGAGUAACACGUGAGUAACCUGCCCUUGACUUUGGGAUAACUUCAGGAAACUGGGGCUAAUACCGGAUAGGAGCUCCUGCUGCAUGGUGGGGGUUGGAAAGUUUCGGCGGUUGGGGAUGGACUCGCGGCUUAUCAGCUUGUUGGUGGGGUAGUGGCUUACCAAGGGUUUGACGGGUAGCCGGCCUGAGAGGGUGACCGGCCACAAUGGGACUAAGAUACGGCCCAGACGGCUACGGGAGGCAGCGGUGGGGAAUAUUGCACAAUGGGGCGAAGCCUGAUGCAGCAACGCCGCGUGCGGGAUGACGGCCUUCGGGUUGUGAACCGCUUUCGCCUGAGACGAAGCGUGAGUGACGGUAAUGGGUAAAGAAGCACCGGCUAACUACGUG
rnacentral:rRNA from 1 species